CCUGGUAGCGGGGGAUAACUAUUGGAAACGAUAGCUAAUACCGCAUAAUAGUUUAUGACUCAUGUUAUAAACUUGAAAGAUACAACUGUAUCACUACCAGAUGGACCUGCGUUGUAUUAGCUGGUAGGUAGGGUAACGGCCUACCUAGGCGACGAUACAUAGCCGACCUGAGAGGGUGAUCGGCCACACUGGGACUGAGACACGGCCCAGACUCCUACGGGAGGCAGCAGUAGGGAAUCUUCGGCAAUGGGGGGAACCCUGACCGAGCAACGCCGCGUGAGUGAAGAAGGUUUUCGGAUCGUAAAGCUCUGUUGUUAAGGAUGAACGGGAGUAGGAGUGGAAAGCCUACUUUGUGACGGUACUUAACCAGAAAGGGACGGCUAACUACGUGCCAGCAGCCGCGGUAAUACGUAGGUCCCGAGCGUUAUCCGGAUUUAUUGGGCGUAAAGCGAGCGCAGGCGGUUAGAUAAGUCUGGAGUAAAAGGCUAUGGCUCAACCAUAGUGUGCUCUGGAGACUGUUUAACUUGAGUGCAGAAGGGGAGAGUGGAAUUCCAUGUGUAGCGGUGAAAUGCGUAGAUAUAUGGAGGACACCGGUGGCGAAAGCGGCUCUCUGGUCUGUA
rnacentral:rRNA from 1 species